UACAGAGGUGGCAAGCGUUGUUCGGAAUUACUGGGCGUAAAGGGCGCGUAGGCGGUCUGCCAAGUCCCGUGUGAAAGCCCCCGGCUCAACCGGGGAACGGCGCGGGAAACUAGCAGGCUUGAGUUCGGGAGAGGGAAGCGGAAUUCCGGGUGUAGCGGUGAAAUGCGCAGAUAUCCGGAGGAACACCGGUGGCGAAGGCGGCUUCCUGGACCGACACUGACGCUGAGGCGCGAAAGCUAGGGGAGCAAACGGG
rnacentral:rRNA from 1 species